rnacentral:rRNA from 1 species
GCAUAACGCGAAGAACCUUACCAGGCCUUGACAUCCCUGGAACCCCCGAGAGAUCGGGGGGUGCCCUUCGGGGAGCCAGGUGACAGGUGCUGCAUGGCUGUCGUCAGCUCGUGUCGUGAGAUGUUCGGUUAAGUCCGGCAACGAGCGCAACCCUCGCCAUUAGUUGCCAGCAGUUCGGCUGGGCACUCUAAUGGGACUGCCCGUGAAAGCGGGAGGAAGGCGGGGAUGAUGUCUAGUCAGCAUGGUCCUUACGGCCUGGGCGACACACGUGCUACAAUGGCCGGUACAGCGCGUCGCCACCUCGCGAGAGGGAGCUAAUCGCGAAAGCCGGUCCCAGUUCAGAUCGCAGUCUGCAACUCGACUGCGUGAAGUUGGAAUCGCUAGUAAUCGCGGAUCAGCCAUGCCGCGGUGAAUACGUUCCCGGGUCUUGUACACACCG